rnacentral:rRNA from 1 species
CCAGCCACCGCGGUUACACGAUUAACCCCAGCUAAUAGGGAUCGGCGUAGAGGGUGUUUAAGAUCUAACAUAAUAAAGCUAAACUCCACCUAAACUGUAAAACCCUAGCUAAUGUAAAAUAAACUACGAAAGUGGCUUUAAAGCUUCUGAACACACAAUAGCCAAGACCCAAACUGGGAUUAGACACCCCACUAUGCUUGGCCCUAAACCUCAGUAGUUAGAUAACAAAACUACUCGCCAGAAUACUACAAGCAACAGCUUAAAACUCAAAGGACUUGGCGGUGCUUUACAUCCCCCUAGAGGAGCCUGUUCCGUAAUCGAUAAACCCCGAUCCACCCUACCCUCUCUUGCUCAGCCUAUAUACCGCCAUCUUCAGCAAACCAUAAUGAGGGCCACAAAGUGAGCGCAAACGCCGUCGCCGCGAAUACGUUAGGUC